GGCCCAAGAGGACCACAAGGGAUCAGAGGACCGCCAGGACCACAAGGCAUGCCAGGCCCUCUGGCUAGUCUGGGGACCCCAGGUUCACCUGGCUCUGUGGGGAAGUUAGGUGCAAGAGGAGCAAAGGGUGAACCUGGUGACCCUGGAGCGAAGGGCCCAGUGGGACCAGCUGGACCAAGAGGCAUGCCUGGCAUGGAUGGCAGAGAUGCCUAUGGUCCUGAAGGAAGCAAAGGAGCAAAGGGAGAAUCUGGAUUCACAGGAAAUCCUGGUCCAGAGGUAUGAUUAAAUGGGAUGUUUGCUUCCUUUAUGUCUUGUUUUACAUUGUUCUUGUUUGGAAGUGGUUAUCUGUCUUUGCCUGUCUUUACCUUGCCUAUAAAGUUCUGGAUUUCAUUAAUUUUUAGGGAGAAGAUGGAGACCCAGGAAUUCCAGGAGCUGAAGGACCCAAAGGAGUUAAGGGUAGAAGAGUAAGAAUGAUAAAUCUGUUAACUCUGUGAAGAGUUCUAUAAGUGAAGCUCUUAUGUCUUAAGUGUUUCCUCACCAAAAAUUUUUGAAAUUGGUU
rnacentral:lncRNA from 1 species